rnacentral:lncRNA from 1 species
ACUACCUUUGAAAAUGUUCCCCAGAAAUAUGAUAGUCACUUAACUGAAGCUGAUGGUCAAAGAGGAAAAAGUACAAUAAAGGAACAAGAAGAUUCUCUUGAGCAAUAUCAUCACUUGAAGACUUGGGGCAGAUGAACUUAAUAGAUCAAGAAAAGAUGACCACUGCAGCUGCAUUUCUAUUUUGGAAUUACACUCUCCAUGACCUGUGUGAGUCACAGCUACCAGAAAACAAAGAGAGCAAAGAAGAACAAGAUUUAGAAGCGACAUCAGAGCAAGAGCCAGAAAGGCUUGAAGGAAGUGAAAAGAACAAGCCACAGGCUGAGGGAGAAAGGAAGAAGCAUGCAAGGAAUGAAACAGAAGCAUCAAGAAACCUACAUGAUGGCUCCACUGAUGACCAUAUUCAACAAGGAGAGAGUGGAGAAACUGACGGUCAGCAAAUUCCUAGGACAGAGCAUGAAGAGUGCGAUAGUAGUGUCCCUGCCUUGCAUAUGAAGAAAGUAAAGAAAAAUGAACAUGAAGAAUGGAUCACAACAGAAUCUGUGACUCUGCUAGUAUUUAAGAAGGCCGAUUUAAUAACUCAUGAUCUGCUGCAAGUGACUGAUGACAGCAGUUUAACUGAAAUAGAUGAGAAAGAAAGAAAGUAA